AGCGGGCGAACGCGGUAUCGUAGGGCAACCAUUUUUGCACUAAAAUCGGGUGAACGCGAUGUCGUAGGGCAACCAUUUUUACAAUAAAUUCGAGCGAACGCCAUGUCGUAGGGCAACCGUUUUUUCAUAAAAUUCGAGCGAACGCCAUGUCGUAGAGCAAGCGUUAUUUCAUCAAAUUGUAG